AGCAAGGUUUAAAGCAUGGUUUUAUAUGAAGAGUUAUUUGCAUUACGUUGAUAAUAAUUUAUUAUUAUCAUUUAUAUAGUUUCUGGUAUUAUUAAUAUACACUAUCAAUAGUGUAUAUUUAUGAUUUUGAUAGAAUUUAAUAAAUGAUGUGCCUUGAAUAGGAUUUGUAUGGAUUUGAUUGAUUGACUCUUGGUGAGGAAUUUUAAAAUAAGCUAAGGACCUAAGGUGUGGCUUUAGCUGUUGAGCAACUUGUGGAGCACGGACUCAGUAGCAAUGCAAUAAUGGUUUUAGAGUUUUCAUAUGGCUGCCUUAAAUUUAAAGUAUUCAUACGUGUAAUAAUUUCUUCUAAUAAGUUUAUAUAAAAGUUUUAAAAUUUUCUGUA